CUCAUGACUGCCACUUGCAUCUUGCAUGUGUCUGAAUACACUUGCCGUAUCCAAUUUUAUUUAAACAUCCUUUUUUUCGUCUCUUUGCAGUUUUGAGGAAAGUUGUGGAGACCAAAAACUCCAGAAGGAAGACAUAUAUAAUCAUGAAGAUGUGAAACACAAGUGAUGGCAGCAGAGAAGUCAGGGAACCAUUGGUGGACAAGGAUAUGGCGGAAUCAAAGCCGAAGCAGCCGUGGAUGGUUAAUCUUAGCACCUUUGUUGCAGUUUGUGGUUCUUUAGCUUUUGGUUCUUGUCCGGGAUACUCCUCACCUGCUCAGGCUGCAAUUAGGAAUGAUCUUUUUCUGACUAUAGCUGAGUUUUCACUCUUUGGUUCUUUACUGACUUUUGGUGCAAUGAUUGGUGCUAUCACAAGUGGGCCUAUACCUGAUUUAGUUGGAAGAAAAGGUGUCAGGGAAAAAAAUUGAAAGUUUCCAUCAGAGUUGGCUUUGUGAUAGUAUAUAUGCCUAUACUACUUGUGGAUUUGUUGUAUCCAGGCGAUGAGAGUUUCUUCUGCUUUUUGUGUCGUCGGUUGGCUAGCAAUCUUCUUUGCUAAGGCCUGACUCAAGAUUCUAAACCAAAAUGUAUAUGCUGGUAUUCAAUUUUUGCAUAAUGUAUCUCUCUCUUUGUGUUAAAUGGUGUCCUUAUCAAAGGGAGUAGUGGCUCUGGAUCUCGGAAGACUGGCAACGGGUUAUGGAAUGGGAGCAUUCUCCUAUGUGGUGAGCCCAUCGAGGCAGGUGCCAAAGCUUAUAUUUUUGCUGGUGGUGCAACUGCGGAGCACCUUGCUGCUGAUAUUGGAGAUCUUGUGUUAAUCAACUGUUUACUUAAACUGGACGUGAUCCUAAUCAGAAAGACGAGGAACUCUCGUAACAAUUAGCUUUUUAAUGAUGAACACAUACCCUCAUAUGGCUGUGAUUUUCAGGAAGGCAAUAGGCCAUUAGAAGUUGCAGCUCUAAGAGAGAACAAAAAGAUUGUGGAGACUCCUCCCAUUGACAACAAAGUCUGAAACUGUUUCAGACUGGACAUUUGUUGGAGUUCUACCUCACAUAGAAUCAAAAAAAGAACAGGAGGAAAACUCAAUCAAGUCAAAAUCCUUAGAGGCUGUGAUUAAGAAAGACCUUCCUGAGCAAAAUCAAAGGACAUAGCAAGGUCGCUGUCACCUUCAUUCGCCCCAGAGAUCCUUGUGUGCAGUGUGGAUGCUGCUUGGAACUCCAGCUCGAAACGUUGUGGGGCCAGGUUCGGAUUUGGAUUCGGGUAUCGGGUAAAAGUGUCCAGCCUUACAAGGAACAAUGAAGUCUUCGUGCAAGGAGCAAUGGAGCAUCACGUGCUUGAAGUCAGGGCUGGCUUACACCAUGGGGCAAGAAGGCAUGGGCUCCGGAAUCCAAAAUUUUUUCCAUAAAUAAUACUAAAAGGAAGUCCACUUUUUUUUUCAAAAAAAAAUUAGAUAUAAGAGCAUCUGCAUCAGUGAAUUCCAUGGGGAGUUCACACAGUUUUUUUUUAAAAAAGUAUUAAAAUAAACAAAAGAAGUGAAUUUGUGUUCAUGGGGUCACUGCACUGAACCCGGAUCAUCACUGUAACGCGGGCUUCACGACACGUGCUGACCCACGAUUAAUCCGAUUAAUUAAUUAAUUUUUUUUUAAACAAAAAUCAAACAAAAAAUAAUAAAAAAAUACUUUGUGAACCCCUUCCAUGGGGUUCACUAAUGCUCUAACGCCCUAGAACUUUUAAAUUUACUUAUAAAUAUAUGCAAAAAAGAUAUUAAAAUUAUUUUGCCAAAUGGCUCAUAGAUUCAUCGAGCCGCCCCUGCUUGAAGUUGGGUCUGACUCCUCCCAGAAGCAUAGGGUAAGCCCAUCUCCUCAAGGUUACCAGGACGUAGUCCAUGAACCCAGAUAACGAGUUUUCCGGGUCCAACUCGGUCAGAUCGAAGUGAGCUAAAGGGGUUUGAUUCUCAAAAAAGACAAUAACCACAUCAUUGUUCACAAAAACAGCUCUGUCAUGAGUGGGUUUGGGUUCAGUGUUUUGAUUCUUCGUAUUCCUAGCAUAGUCUUGUGGUGGUGGUUUGUAAAUUCUUUUAUGUGGAUUCUCAUUAUUUGAUUAUUAAUGAUCAAUGUCUUCAUGUAAACUCAUGAACAAAUGUAUCAGUGUUUGAUUCUUAACUCAUGAAAUACUAAUCUCUUGGAGACAAUAUCGCUGCCACUCACCUACGUAUGUUUGGGACUUUCCUUCUCGAUUUUUUCGAAUUUUGCUCCUUUUUUUGCCUAUAUACCCACUGCAUUUAAAGUCACUAGUAAGCAGUAACUACGCAAACUUAACCUUUUGAACCAUACUCUACGUCAGAAUCGCAUUAAUAUCAUUUAUGGUUAACUAGAUUUGUUUUUAUAAAACAAUAAAACUAAAUUGAUAAAAGAAAUUCCCUUUUUGCAACUUGUAAAUUACUGAGUUGAAACUUUUAUAAGCGUGUGCGUGUUUAUUAUUUUAGCAUUGAUCUAAAAAUCCGACAUAAUAACAAAUAAAUAAAAAUCUUCCAAUCCGACAUAAUAACAAAUAAAUAAAAAUCCAAAUCAGCAACCCACAUGUAAAUCAGAAAAUAGUCUUGCACGAACUCUCUGCUUACGCUAGAAGGUCCAUAACGGGUGAUCUAGUGUCACGUGUAUGGCAGAAAAGAGUGUCGGUUCCUUCUUGUCCAGCUUACUCGUUUUAUGCUGACAAUAACAAAUACUUUUGUUUGUACGAUUUAAGAAGUUACUAUGAAACUGAAAGGAAAUAAUAAAUAAGAAACCCUCAUUGUUUCUUUUCUUUAUAUAUUAACAUACAAUUGAAAAUCUCAAGUUUCAUGUUGAGGCGAUUUUUCUGCAAAGAGCAUACUAUAGAAUAAACAAACUUGCAUGCAUAUAAUAUAGAACUCCUAUUAAUUUAGUAGGAAUGGGUCAUAUAACAUUAUCAUAACCUAAGCAUUACUUUUAAGAAAAUCAACUUUUAUCGGCCAAAUUCUUCAUGAAUCAUUAAAUGAGUUUUAUAAGUCUGUCACCCCACAUUUUACACCCACAAAGGUUUGUCACCCCCACCUUAUCGUUUUAUUUAAAUUUUCUCCUUUGUUCUCUUUUGUUGUUCAUAUCUUUUCACAACCUCACGCUUUUACGGUGUGUGGGAAUAUAAAGAUACUGACUUCAUCUAUAUCCUAAACAAUUACUGAUAUAUGUUGUAAUAAUGUUGUGACUCAAUAAAACGUUAUAAGCUUAAUAUAACUAGCUAUAUAAAUGAUAAAACAUUCAACGGAGUUUUACACAGUAAACACAGAAAGAAAAAUGUCAAUAGUUCAACUAAACUGUUUGUUUUAAUUAGACAAACCAAUUGAGCGAAGUUUUGACCAUUGUAGUACAUAAUUAUAUCACUAAUGUACUAAAAAUGAUAUAGUAGUAACCAGUGAUUGUAAUGAGUAGAGCGGAGAUAUAAAGUUUCAACCGAAUCAAGUGAUUAGAUUAUGAGCUUUCUUUUUCAUGCCACCUUUUGAGCCUUGAAUGAUAAUUGGCGCGAUAUUGACAAAAUCCGAUUCCAAUCGUGAUGGCAUUAUUGUAUUGUUACAUAAUAGUUUCAAUAAUCGAAGAAGAAAGACGUUUUCCAAAAAAAAAUUCUUGUUAAGACAACUCAAAAGUAAAAGUGGUGGCCAAAAUUGACUUUAACCAGCUCAAAAGACCCAAAUAAUCACAUGCUACUUAAUAAAAUAAUUAAAAUUUCUAAUUAUGAACAUGUGAUAUCAUCAUAACCUUAAUUGUUUUCUUAAAGCCUCCUUUCCUAUGCUGAUUAAUCGGCGGAGUCAUAGGUUAUCGUGGUAUGUCACUAAAGUUCGGCUUUAAAAUUAUUUUCCUAAAUCUUCACUAUUAUGCAGUAUCUCCGGUUUCUAAUUAGGUAAAGAGAAACACUGUAGAGCACUAUUGUAAAAAAAUAUAAGAAAAGUUUAUAGAUAAGUUCUAGGAAUCGAUUCUCAUUUUUUGUAACAGUUUUCAACCUUUUCCAAAAGAUUAUGGCAUUUUCUGAAAAUGUAAAUGAAUUCUUAGCAGUAAAGGAAAUUCUCAUUAAAGUAUUGCCGUCUGUAACUUUAAAAUUUUAAAUGUAUCGUUUCAGAAGAUAACCACAAAAUUUUUUUUGACUGAAGAUAACCCUAAUUUGAAGCUUCUAACAACAUUAAUCUAUGAUUAUCAGGUUAACAGUAAUCUUUAUUCAUACAUACCACUAACAAAGAUAAUUAGACACAAGAUAUAUAUGUAUACAUCCUUGACAAAAAAAAAGAUACGAAUAUAUCCUUAGUAUAAAUAAUGAAAAUGGUGCAUUAAUACUCUUAUUUCCCUGUUUUUAUAUGAUUAUCGGAAGAAUACCAAAUCAAUAAUGAAUACAGAACGUGGACAUAAAUAAACUACAAUUCUUGUCUAAUUAUCCAAUGUAUACAAAAAAUCUAUAAACGAAAAAUCUCUCUAUUUUUGUUUUAUACUAUUUUAAAAAAUCCAAAAAUAUAAUAAUGCUAACUAACAGUAACUAUACACAGAAGAAUCUAACUCAGACGAACAAAUACGUUUCAUAAUAGUCGCCGUAAUGUCGAAAUGAUUACUAUUACCGCGUUGUACUAUAUCACGACUUUU